AAAUUGAAGAGUUUGAUCAUGGCUCAGAUUGAACGCUGGCGGCAGGCCUAACACAUGCAAGUCGAACGGUAACAGGAAGCAGCUUGCUGCUUCGCUGACAAGUGGCGGACGGGUGAGUAAUGUCUGGGAAACUGCCUGAUGGAGGGGGAUAACUACUGGAAACGGUGGCUAAUACCGCAUAACGUCGCAAGACCAAAGAGGGGGACCUUCGGGCCUCUUGCCAUCA
rnacentral:rRNA from 1 species